AAAAAGACUUGAGGCAGACAAGUUAAAGAGGCAAAACACAUGCAAACGUAGAACAGUCACGUGACCACCACGCAACCCACGCGCGAGACUUCACAACGUACUUAUACUGUGUGUGUGUGUGUGUGUGUGUGGUGUGAUUGUGAACAGGUGUGCCUAAUCAGAAGUCCUGUAAACAGGAACAUGGACCAUGUGACAGGUCAUGUGAUGUGGUUGCACUGGGAAUCAUAGGCAAUGGAGUGAAAUUUCAGGAGAAUGUUAUUUAAAAAAGUUUUGGACACUUAAGCUACAACUUAGUUGGAAGAAGAUCUUCCUGAGAACAACCACUAAAAUACACCACGUUUUAGUGUCUUGGGAAUUUUCUGACCACAAACACCAUCAGCCUGCAAAAAAGAGAACUUCAUGCAAGGAACAGACCAAAAACUCGCAGUAAAAUACGAUGGUGAAUCACUGCGAAAAAUAGUUCCCAAAGAAACCACAUCUGGAUGAAGUGUUGCGUGUUGCCAUGCCAACACACAGACUGACUAACAGCCUAUAUGCAUUAUGGCGCUUGGUCUGUAAAGAACAGCAACUUCUAGAAGAGGCCUGUGGCUUUUCUCCAGCCUUCUAUAUCCUGCACACUUGAGGAGCGGAGGUAGAACACACUCGCUCCAGGAGCUGAUGAGUGAAAAUUAGAGGAACACGUGUUAAUACGCAUGUUUCCCCUGCUCCCAGAGAGAUUUCGAGGUUAUUUGAGAGAUAUUAAAAGCAAUGGAGCACUGCCAGGAAAAACUGGGAGUGGAAUGCAAAGCCACAAAGCGUUCACACAGAUCAGCAUUUAUAGGUAAAGUACACAUUCAUCGCGCUUGAAUAUUGUUAUUUUGGAGGGCAGGACAUUUUUGUACAUAUAAUACAUUUUGCAAGUUCAUAUGAUUAUAAGUAUUGCCUAUAUAAAGUACAAAGCUUCAAAAAUAUAGUAUAUUUUAAGUGGUUUUUAAACUGUCUGCUAAUAAAAUUAGUGUUUUUUUAAGUCUUAUAUUGAUCUUUUAGAGUUCGUUUCAUGUAUGACAUCUUAUUAAAGCUAUUAUUCUGUAAUUUCAUUUAACCUUGUUUUAUUGUUUCAUUUACAUUCAUGUGCAUGAGCAUAGUAAUAAAU